CCUACGGGGAGCUGCAGUGGGGGAUAUUGCACAAUGGGCGGAACCCUGAUGCAGCGACGCCGCGUGGGUGAAGAAGCGCCUCGGCGCGUAAAGCUCUGUCAGCAGGGAAGAAAAUGACGGUACCUGAAGAAGAAGCCCCGGCUAACUACGUGCCAGCAGCCGCGGUAAUACGUAGGGGGCAGGCGCUAUCCGGAUUUACUGGGUGUAAAGGGGGCGCAGACGGCGGUGCAAGCCAGGAGUGAAAGCCCGGGGGCCAAUCCGGGGACUGCUCCUGAAACUGCGUGGCUGGAGUGCAGGAGGGGCAGGCGGAAUGCCUGGUGUAGCGGUGAAAUGCGUAGAUAUCAGGAGGAACACCGGUGGCGAAGGCGGCCUGCUGGACUGCAACUGACGUUGAGGCCCGAAAGCGUGGGGAGCAAACAGGAUUAGAUACCCUUGUAGUC
rnacentral:rRNA from 1 species